GGAUGUGCUGACCCCUGCGAUUUCCCCAAAUGUGGGAAACUCGACUGCAUAAUUAGU
rnacentral:snRNA from 1 species